ACUUUGGCUGAUCUCAAAAUGUUAAGCAAGGUCAGACCUGGGUAGUAUUUAAAUGGAAUACCACCAGGUAACCCAGGAUUCUAGAGUA
rnacentral:rRNA from 1 species